rnacentral:precursor_RNA from 12 species
CACCCUCUGAGGCCCAUCUGGGAGCCCAGCUCACCUGGCAUCUUGCUGUCGUCCUUCUCUUCAGAUGGCAGCAUGAUGCCAGGGCAGCUGGGUACCAGGCACAGCCCUCUCCGUGGA